AAAGGAAAAACACAAAAAUACUGAACUCCGAGGAAAAUUCAAAAAGGAAAGUCCCAAAUCAAAUGGCAAAUUCAAAAGUUCAAACACAUCAACCGAAUGGAUAACAACUGUCAUAUUCCUGACUUGGUACAGGCAUUUUCUUAUGUAGAAAAUGGUGGAUUGAACCUGGUUUUAUAGCUAGCUAAACCUCUCACUUGUAUGACAG
rnacentral:lncRNA from 1 species